GUAUCUUGACCGUGCGAAGGUAGCGCAAUCACUUGUCUUUUAAAUGGAGACCCGUAUGAAUGGCUAAACGAGGGCCUAACUGUCUCCUUUCCCAAAUCAGUGAAAUUGAUCUCUCCGUGCAGAAGCGGGGAUAAAAACAUAAGACGAGAAGACCCUAUGGAGCUUUAGACACUAAGAUAGCCCCCCUCCCAACCCCUUAAAGGGAUACUAGAGCUUGAAAGACCACUAUCCUAAUGUCUUCGGUUGGGGCGACCGAGGGGGAACACUUAACCCCCAUGCAGAAGUGAAGGCCUCCUUCCAAAAACAAGAGCUACCGCUCUAAUUCUCAGAACCUCUGACUUAUAAUGAUCCGGCAAUGCCGAUCAACGGACCAAGUUACCCUAGGGAUAACAGCGCAAUCCUCUUUAAGAGACCCUAUCGCCAAGAGGGUUUACGACCUCGAUGUUGGAUCAGGACAUCCUAAUGGUGCAGCCGCUAUUAAGGGUUCGUUUGUUCAACGAUUAAUAGUCCUACGUGAUCUGAGUUCAGAC
rnacentral:rRNA from 1 species